rnacentral:siRNA from 1 species
UUGGUGCAUUGUGGAUGCUCC